UACGUAGGGUGCAAGCGUUGUCCGGAAUUAUUGGGCGUAAAGAGCUCGUAGGCGGUUUGUCGCGUCUGCUGUGAAAACUCAGGGCUUAACCCUGAGCUUGCAGUGGGUACGGGCAGACUUGAGUGCGGUAGGGGAGACUGGAAUUCCUGGUGUAGCGGUGAAAUGCGCAGAUAUCAGGAGGAACACCGGUGGCGAAGGCGGGUCUCUGGGCCGUAACUGACGCUGAGGAGCGAAAGCAUGGGGAGCGAACAGG
rnacentral:rRNA from 1 species